CUCUUUUCCCACUCUGUUCCCACACACUACUUCAUGCAUAAUAAGUUGUACAAAGUUUCAAAUUGCAAACAAAAAUUUAUUUCAAAUCCAUUUGCACCAUUGGAAUACAAAUACAAACAUUAGGAUUAUCAAUACUAAACGCUAGACUUGAACUAACAAUGGGAUAAUAUUUCACCAAUUUUUUGGAAAUCAAAGUCCUGCAACUAACUAAGUUUUGUGAUAAAAUUUGAAUAACUUGAAUUAUUUCUCCUGUAGAAAGUAAAAAAUAGCAAUCACGUCGAUAAGACGAUACUAUAAUAUUAUCUUUAGUGUAUAUUUUUACUAUCAUUUUCUUGGUCAUAAAUUUAGAGUUAACGCAUUCUGACCUGA